CGCGUAGGCGGAUGAUUAAGUCAGAUGUGAAAGCCCCGGGCUCAACCUGGGAACUGCAUUUGAGACUGGUCGUCUAGAGUACAGAAGAGGGGGUGGAAUUCCAGGUGUAGCGGUGAAAUGCGUAGAGAUCUGGAGGAACAUCAGUGGCGAAGGCGACCCCCUGGGCUGAUACUGACGCUGAGGUGCGAAAGCGUGGGUAGCGAACA
rnacentral:rRNA from 1 species